GACGAACGCUGGCGGCGUGCUUAACACAUGCAAGUCGAACGAAGAGCGAUGGAAGCUUGCUUCUAUCAAUCUUAGUGGCGAACGGGUGAGUAACGCGUAAUCAACCUGCCCUUCAGAGGGGGACAACAGUUGGAAACGACUGCUAAUACCGCAUACGAUCUAAUCUCGGCAUCGAGGAUAGAUGAAAGGUGGCCUCUACAUGUAAGCUAUCACUGAAGGAGGGGAUUGCGUCUGAUUAGCUAGUUGGAGGGGUAACGGCCCACCAAGGCGAUGAUCAGUAGCCGGUCUGAGAGGAUGAACGGCAACAUUGGGACUGAGACACGGCCCAGACUCCUACGGGAGGCAGCAGUGGGGAAUCUUCCGCAAUGGACGAAAGUCUGACGGAGCAACGCCGCGUGAGUGAUGACGGCCUUCGGGUUGUAAAGCUCUGUUAAUCGGGACGAAAGGCCUUCUUGCGAAUAGUGAGAAGGAUUGACGGUACCGUAAUAGAAAGCCACGGCUAACUACGUG
rnacentral:rRNA from 1 species